UCUCACUUAUCCAACAUAAACGGGCCGGCAGAACGUUGGAUAAGCGAAUAUGUUGGAUAAUAAGGAGAGAUUAAGGAAAAGCCUAUUAAACAUCAAAUUAAGUUAUGAUUUUACAAAUUAAGCACCAAAACAUCAUGAUAUACAACAAAUUUGACAGAAAAAGUAGUUCAAUACACAGUAAUGAUAUGUAGUAAUUACUGUAUUUAUGAAUUUAGCACCAAAAUAUCACGAUGUAUUGAAAACAUUGACUACAAAAAUGCGUUGGAUAAUCCAGAACGUUGGAUAAGCAAGUGUUGGAUAAGUGAGACCCUACUGUAUUUAUUCUGGUGCACCUCACUUUCCAUUUCCCACUGGUUUCUCCUUCACCCCAAUGUUGCUUUAACCUUUCCCACUGCUCACUCCCUACCAUUUCCUCUUCCGAUUAACUAUUUCAGAGUUCUGUAGAAGGAUCUCUGUAUCCCAAGCAGUAACUUCACAUAUUCUGGCUCCAAUCAUAAUUUUGCCUUUAGGGGAGGUUUGAGAAGUCUGCCACCUACUGACUAACACUGUGACUGCAGGCUAGAGGCAUUUUUAAAAACAAAAAUCAAACUAUUUUAUAAACAAAUAAAAAUAAAUACAUGACAUGGCUGCUAGCAUCAAAACUUUUGCCGAUCUCCAUUUUGAAGGUUCUUAUCUUUUAAAACAGGCUUUGAUUAGAUAUCUUUCACAGAGAGAAGACUUGGACAACCCUGUCCCUCUCCCAAGGGCCCCAGAUCUUCAAAGGUAAUCUCUCAGGGGCCAGGAAGGAGGAGAACGAAGAAGAUGGCCCAUUCUUUCCCUCCCUUCCUUGCCACCCUUUUCUUUUUUGUCUCUUGCAUGACACUUGUAGGCCUUGGGGAAGUAAUUGUUCCCUUUGCAGAAGUCCCAGUUGCUUGCAGAAGGCUUUUCAACUUAGGACAAAGGCUGCAGGUAGUUAGGUUGAGGGCCAAGGCUACAUUUCCAAUGAUGCAAUUGGAACAAAUACUCCAAGGACUUCUGAGAUUAAGAACCCUGUGCUGUUGCUAGCACUAUACAUGCACAUGCACAGGUGUGUGAGCACAUAAACAUACACACAUAGGCACAUCCUGUACCUUGGUGAUAGGGAGCUCAUAAACCUUUCUUCCCCACUCCCCCAAAGGUAGCAGCAUUUCUCACCAUCCUAUUUGAAUCUUUCAGCCUCAGAGGGAAUGAGAAUGCUUAUGUUACGUUGGGGACACUACUACUGUGGCAGUCAUGUCAGCUGGGACAAAAGAGUGCUCCUCCCUUGUGAUCGAAAGGGACCUCAGGAGGCAGCUGCUUGGCAGCAUUGCCAAGUCUGAGCUACUGCAGUGCCACCCUGGCCCUCCAAAAGGGUUGCUUGCACAAAUACAAAAAGUGGGUGGGAAGGGGUGUCUCUUUAGGAUCCUGAGUCCUAUAAUCUAGCCUCGCUGAUGUUGACUGUCCGCCCACUCUUGAAACAGAUGGUGUCUUCAGAUUGAGGAAUGGCCUUCUUCUGAGAAGAUAGAUAUGCGACCUCUCUCCUUCCAGUAUUUGGGCUUAACAUACAAGCCAUUGCAUUUCCAGGGGCCUACAUCUAUGAGAGCUGUCUAACCAUCUUCAUUGGAAAUUCAGGGAAGGAAAACAGGAUUGAAACAGCUAAUCAAAACGUGCUUGAGAACCCUGGCAGUCCACUGGAGCAGGGGUGACGUGAUAUUUUUAGGCUCCAAUCCUGGCACAGCCCUCCUUCUGAAGGUUCAUAACACAAAAACAAGUGAAGAGAGAUCACAGAGUGGAAAUCCAAAUCUCUGCACUCCUGCGGAAAUCUUUCUCCCCAUCAGACCUCCCAAGUCAGGAGACCCCUUGAAAUAGGACACUUUCUUCAUGUCCAGGCGGAGCCACAAAGAGGCACAACAUCCCUUUUAAACAAAGACCAGGUAAGUGAAUAAAUCAGCCAUGAGAUCAAAUUUCCUGUGCGCCAGAGAGGGAAAAAAAUGUCCUUGUAAAACACAAGAGAAAAUUGACCUGCCAAGGGAAUAGAUGGACAAUGCGAUCAGCACCUGCUUUCCCCUAGAAUCCAGUGCCUUGUCUGCAAAAACCAUGUGGGGAAGCCCACAAAAAGAGGGGAGUCCCAUUCUCUCCCCCCCAAUGGAGGCCAAGAGAAGCCAGGCAUUUAACAAGCCUCCUCCUUCACAAGGGAUUGUACCCAGCACAGCUGUAGCAGCCAGUCUAACAAUAAAACAGAUGAAGACCAGUGAUCCUGUCAGCAGACAGUUAGACAGCUUUUCUUUCAUUUUCGUCUCUUCCCCACCCGCUGGAACUGCUGAGCAUCUCCCUAACCUCAUCCCUCUUUCCUGUGCAAUUGACUGACCUCAAUUGGCACAGGAGUCCAUUUGGCUUCUGCUGUUGCGCAUUUGCCUGGUGCCAAUUUACCUUGAGCAGCGGAUCCUGCUUUUUCAAAGACAACCACACAGACAGGUUGAGGCAGCAUUGGGAAAAUUCAAUCUGGGGGACCCCAUGAAAUCUAGAGGAAUCUGGAGACUGUAGUCCAAAAAGAAUCCUUUCUGAGGUUGGAGUUGACACACAUGAGGCUCAGGUCCAGGCUAUUUGGCAGAUGUUAUCUCCUGGUACGAACCUUCACAGGCUCCAAGACCCUUAGGAGAGGUCCUUCUCUUGGUCCCAUCAGCAUCACAAGAACUGUUGGUGUGAAUGAGAGAGUGAGCCUUCCUUCUCGGUGGCUGCCCCUCAGCUCCGGAACUCCCUUCUUCCCAGGGAAGCCAGAGUGGCCCCUUCCUGCUGUCCUUCUAGAGGCAAGCUAUACCCUCUCUAUUCAGAUAGACUUUUAAAGAAGAAAGCUUUAAAGAUCGAAUCAAGGAAUGGGCUGUUUAAUGAAAUUUAAUAGAUUUUCAGACUGUAUUCUUCUCACUCCGUGGUGGCCUCAUCAGCCGUGGUUCUCACCACUGCUACAGCUGUCCAAGGAGGAGUACUUCUGUUUACUGGAUCGCCCCAAUCUGCUAACGUCCCAAGGGGGUAUGGUUCUGCACCCGGACACGCAUUGCCUUAACAGCGUGGCGAAUCCGUCCACCACAAUAACUUCUUCAUUAUCUUCGUCAGUGCAAAAGAUCUUGGCUGCAGCUCACAGGGCAUCUACAAAGCGAUCAUACACUUAUAAAUAGUCACGUUUUUCAUCAUUUGGGCAAUGUAAGGGGGUAUUGCCCGAAUCUGCCCCGUCUCCUGUAGUUCUGGACUUUUUAGGUUUGCUUGCUGAUACGGGAUUGUCAUUUUCAUUGUUGAAAUGUUACCUCGUGGCGAUAUCCUGGUAUAGAAGGAAGGCUGGUCUUCCAUCUUGUUUUGCCGAUCCUUUGGUUGCUCUUUUUCUUCAGAGCUUUAAGAAUUUGAGACCAUCAAUUGCACCCGUGGUCCCAUCCUGGAGUUUAGAGUUAGUUCUUUCGACUUUGACCAAGCUGCCAUUUGAACCACUUUCUUCUACGAACUUGUCCUGCCUCUUGUGGAAAACUGCAUUUUUAGUUGCAAUCACUUCCACUCGACGUGCAAGUGAGUUGUGUUCUCUUCAUUCGGACGCGCCUUAUAUGCGUUUUCAUAAAGAUAAGGUGGUUUUACACACAGAUAUCGCAUUUCUCCCAAAGGUGGCAUCUAGGUUUCAUACUUCUCAAGAAAUAAUCCUUCCAGCUUUUUUCCAGAAUCCAUCUUCUUCAUUAGAAAAGGCCCUUCACAUGUUGGAUGUUUGUAGGGCGCUGUCCUUUUAUGUUGAUAGGACUUCUGAAUUUUGUAAAUCUCCAAGACCUUUUCUAAAAUACCGCAAGGAUGCUAGGGGUUUCCUGUUUCUACUCAGCGGUUAUCAUCUUGGAUUGUUGCCGCAAUUUGCCUUGCCUAUAAGUCAGCGGGCUGGGACUUGCCAGAACACGUGAGAGGUCACUCUACAAGAUCUAUGUUGACCUCUACGGCCUUCAUGAGGGGCUUGCCCUUGGAUGUUGUUUGCCGCGUGGCUGCGUGGUCCACUCCAUUGACGUUUGUCAAGCACUACAAGGUCGAUGAGGCAUCUCAGAAGGAUGCUGAGUUUGGGAGAGCAAUACUUUUUUCUUCGGUGGCAUGACGCCCACAAGCCAAGUUUAGCAUACACUCACCAGGCAUGGAUCCUCUUAUCUGCAGUCUACAAAGUGAUUUCCUUCCCAUCGAAUUCAAUGGAAAAUAGGAAACAGGAAAGAAAAGCAUUACAGCCCAGAUCCAUGAACAAGAAUAAGCUGUCCCUUGCUCACUUGAAGUCCCACUAGGAUGACAACUCCAAUCAAAAUUGUUGUCUGGACAAUGCUGAGAAGACCUCAUAGCAGAUAAGUGUUAAAAUAAGAUUAGGAAUAAAGACAGUUUCUCAAGCAUGGUAUAAUGGAAUGAGCAGCUACAAUUCUGAAAUCAAGAUUCGAUUGGUCACUUGGCCAUGGAAAUAUACUAGAUGGUUUUGGGUGAGUCAUACAUUGUCAGUCCCAGAAAAAGGCCUGUGAUACAGUCACCUUCAGGUUCCCAUAAGACGGAAAUGACUUGAAGUCAUGCAACAACAAAUUAAAUAAAGCAACGUUUAAAAUAUAGUUAGGAAUUCUGUCUUGGUGCUGUUAGGUGGUGAUUUUAUUUUGGCCACAACAGGAUUAAUAAACUGAGAUUUUCCCAAAAUAUUUGGGACUUCAGUUAAGCCAUUUCCCUUCCAUUCCAGAGGGGUCAAAGACAGCAUAUGUUCAUUUACCUUUAUCCCUCCCAGAAGACAAGCAGCACUGUUUCUUUGGUCUUUCUUCAGCAAAGGUAUUUUAUUUGUUAAGUGCUUAAAAUUGUAUGACGUACGAUACAAGAAAUAAAAACAAGAUAAGUGCCUGCCAAAACAGCUUACAAUCUAAAAUAAAUGUAAAAAUAAUGGCAACAGAGUGCUCUUCAGCAUAAAAAUUAGGUGUUUAGUGCCCUCCCCCCUCAAUACAUGAGAAUCAGCUUGAUGCGAUGCAUUCACAAGCUAAGAGUGCAUGCACACACAUUGCUUCCAGAACAUGAUGCAAACAUGUGUUCUGGUCUUCUCUUGUAAGAUAUAUAAACAUGCCUCUGAUGUAGUGCUAAUUGUUCAAUAGGCAGCAGCAAUUCAGUGCUAAUGGGGCCAUGUGGAGUCCCUGUACAAUAGAUAACUUUCCUCAGAAGGAACAGGUAUGCUCCAGAAAGUUUAUAUUUCCUUCCCUUUCUGACUGAUGCAUUCACUAACCCUAAAACUUUGACUAUCCAUCCCUUUCCCUGUGCAUUUUGCCACCUUUUUCACCUUUUAACAUUAAAAUUGGGUUUUCUUGGCGAAAUGUGUUCAGAAGUGGUUUCUCAUUGCCUUCCUCUGAAGCUGAGAGAGUGUGACUUACCCAAAGUCACUUAGUAGGUUCCUGUGGCUGAGUGUGGAUUUGAAUCUUGAUUUCCUUUAGUGCUACUGCAGCAUGUAAACCACUAUACCAUAUUGCAGGCAAACUGCGGCCCUCCAGCUGUUUGGGCCUCCAACUCCCAGAAGCGCUAACCAGAUUGAUCAAUGGUCUAGAAUUCUGAGAGUUGGUGGCUGGAGGGCCAAAGUUUGAGGACUCCUGCCAUAUUGGCUGUCUCACUACAAAAUACAUAUUUUUAAAUUUAAAAGUAGAAAUGACUAUGACAAUUACAAAUCUUGAUCAUCAUAGUGGGUUUUCCAGGUAGACUAGACCUAUUGAUCAAUGAUAUUUCCAGAAGUGUAGCACUAUUGUUGUUGAACACAGCACACUCACCCCUGUGAUUUAUAGUUUUACAGGGACACUGAACCAAAAUAAGAUAUUUUUUUCUUUUCUUCACUGAGCUUCCACAAUUCCAGCAAAUAACAAUAUUGGCAGAUAGACCAGAGGCAACUCUCCUUUAAAAAAAUCUUUCUAUUUUUAGUUUGCAGGUAUGUGCUGAUAUGUAUCAGCACAUAUAUGGAGCAGAACAGCAACUCCCCCUCAAAGAUUCUAUUGUUCCUAACUCUCCAAUAAUAUGUAUCUUUUCUUAUAACUUUCUGUCUACUUUAUAUCCUUUGCUCCCUGUCCUGUUCCUGUGUGUGUGUGUGUGUAUAUAUAUAUAUAUAGGCUAUAAGAUUUCUGCCAAAGCAAGCCGCAAGGGUCUUCACCUUGCUGCUGACCCCACCGAGGAAUUUCCUGGACAAGAUGGGAUUGGGCACAUCCUCUGGCUGCCCCAGACAAAGAUGACAAUCAGGACCCAUUGUGUGCACAUGUGAAUCAACAGAUGGUUUCCGCUACCGAUCUGAUAAGUGCCAGCCGAUAUUUGUGUAAUCAAAUGUCCCACUUGGGCUAAGAGAUUGCCAACUAUAAAGAUGAGGAUUCACAAUAUACAUCCAAGUCUGGACCCUGAUAGCAAUCACCACCAUUUGUUUCAGGUUUCCCGGACACUUGACUAUCAUAGCCCCAUCUUUAUCAUCCAAAGUUGGACUAUUAUGUUAGUCAGAAGCCCCCUAAGCCCUCCAAAUAUGGUCACAAGAACUUCCUGGGGUCGCCCCCUCCCAAAAGGGCACCUCCUACAGGUGAUCAGGCUGUCAGAAACCAACCUCAGCCAUCUCCUCCCAACUGAGAGAGAAUCCCCAGCUGGAACCAGUGACAUCAGCGGAACCCAGCCAAUAAGAGAGCAGGCCCAGGUUGGCCUCUUCCCUCAGCCAACCCGGGGAGAGAGCAGGAAACUUGAAUGGAAAUGGAACUGCUUAAAAAUCCAUGCUGUCUGUAUUCAUGUUUAUGCUUGUACAUUUUGGCAUCAGUCAUACAUAUGUCCUUUCUGGCCAGAUUGAAUAAACCUCUGUCACCUGUCUUCACCUGAUCUGAAAUUUUGGGCUUUUAGUGUAAUGCUUCCCAGGCACGGGCCUUCAAUAUCCACAAUCCUAAUCUAAAUUUGACCUCACUAUCCAUUGAAUUCAAUGUUUAAGCCCCACUUCUGUAAUACCCUGCAUUUUCAGGGCAAAAAACUUUGACAUCAAAUGUUCUCAGCGUUCUCACUCCAUUCUAAUUCUUUUUUCUAUCCUUGAAAUUGUAAUGCAACUCUGUGGUUUCUGUUCUAGGAUUCCAUAGCAAAGGGACAGCAUUCUGAAGCCAGUAAUGGUGUGAUCUGGUAAUGGAGAAGGAUGAAGUUAUCUGCUGUUCGCCUCCGUUGUCUUGGCUCUUUGUGCCAUUCCAUGACGUGGACCUUCUUGUGAUGACUUCACCCCUUGGACCUUGGACUGGAACUCAACUCGGCUUAUCUCUUCGCUCCCAAAAUCGGCUUGGCGUCGUUCCUGUCUUUGUGGCUGUCUACUGUUGCUGACUACUGGCUUUGUUUCCGACCCUGACGCAUUCUCCUUAUCCCGACUUCGGACCGGCUUGACUACGUUUCAGCAUUCUGCUCCUUUAACUCCUGGCUCGGCGUUUGUCUCUGCAGUGGUUUGCCGCUAACUCUUCAGCGUCUUCCAGUUUCACUUGCUUUUGCUGCUCACAGCAAGGAGCUUUUUAGCCGGGUUUGGGUUCUUGUUUCAGUUUGAAAUCGCUGUUGUACUUCUGGGUUUUGGGAAAGUUUUUGGGGCUUCAUAACUGUUUGCCUUUGUUUGUUUUGCCAUUUUAAGCCUGUUUUGAGCUUUUGGGCUGAGUUCAAGUAUUCUAUGUUAAAUCCGGAUUAUAUCUCUGGUUAAUCCGGAUUAUAUGCCAAUUAAUGCUUUUGGCGUUUUUCCUACUUUGACUGCCUAAUAACACUGAAGAUUAAGUGUUUCAAGUCUUUGUUAAUUUACUGAACUAUUUUGGGACUAUUACUUUAUUAAACUAUAUUUUGGCUCUCA